AUACGGAGGGUGCAAGCGUUGUUCGGAAUCACUGGGCGUAAAGGACGCGUAGGCCGGUUGGCAAGUCAGAUGUGAAAUCCUACAGCUUAACUGUAGAACUGCAUUUGAAACUGCUAACCUAGAGUAUGGGAGGGGGAGAUGGAAUUAGCGGUGUAGGGGUAAAAUCCGUAGAUAUCACUAGGAAUACCGAAAGCGAAGGCGAUCUCCUGGAACAUAACUGACGCUAAGGCGUGAAAGCGUGGGGAGCAAACAGGAUUAGAAACCCUAGUAGUCC
rnacentral:rRNA from 1 species